AUUUCAACCACAGACGGGGACUUUCUUCUUCCAGUUUUACAAGGCUGACGAUUUUUCUCUCUCUUUUCUUUUGUUUUUCUUUUCCCUUCUUCCUUUUACCUAAAUUUUCUUGAAUAUCUGGGAAAAGAUUGGAGCAAGUUGUUGGUGAAAUAGCUUGGGGAAGAAGAUCCAUUAAUAUAGAAGAUUUCUCAACAAUUUCUCUUCAUCAAUAAGUUUUUCUUUUUUCUUUUUUCCAUCAAUGUUUUGUAAGACUUUGUUAGUUAUUUGUGAAUAUUUCAUGGGUAACUAAAUAUAUUGGUGAUUGGGAAUUAUUUCAAACUCGAGUUAUGAUUUUCAAUUAAUUUGUGCU
rnacentral:lncRNA from 1 species